GUAAAUAGCUCAGCUGGUAGAGCGGAGGACUGUAGAAUGUUUGAAAUCGUCAUCCGUAGGUAGCUGGUUCAAUUCCGGCUCA